GAUGAACGCUAGCGAUAGGCUUAACACAUGCAAGUCGAGGGGCAGCAUGGUCUUAGCUUGCUAAGACUGAUGGCGACCGGCGCACGGGUGCGUAACGCGUAUGCAACUUGCCUCACAGAGGGGGAUAACCCGUCGAAAGACGGACUAAUACCGCGUACACUCCAUCUUGGGCAUCCAAGGUAGAGGAAAUGAAAUUCGCUGUGAGAUAGGCAUGCGUCCCAUUAGCUAGUUGGUGAGGUAACGGCUCACCAAGGCGACGAUGGGUAGGGGAACUGAGAGGUUGAACCCCCACACUGGUACUGAGACACGGACCAGACUCCUACGGGAGGCAGCAGUGAGGAAGAUUGGGCAAUGAGCGAGAGCCUGAACCAGCCAAGUCGCGUGAAGGAUGACUGUCUUAUGGAUUGUAAACUUCUUUUAUACGGGAAUAACAAGAGUCACGGGUGACUCCCUGCAUGUACCGUAUGAAUAAGCAUCGGCUAACUCCGUG
rnacentral:rRNA from 1 species